rnacentral:rRNA from 1 species
AUUGCUGGAAGCGCCCCUGGCGCACCCAUCCCCUUUGUGAACUCAUACCUUACUGUUUCCUCGGCGCAGGCCGUCCCCCCUGGGGUCCCUUCUGUCUCAGGAGGAGCAGCCGGCCGGUGGCCAAACCAACUCUGUUUUUACACUGUAACUCUGAGUACAAAACAUAAAUGAAUCAAAACUUUCAACAACGGAUCUCUUGGUUCUGGCAUCGAUGAAGAACGCAGCGAAAUGCGAUAAGUAAUGUGAAUUGCAGAAUUCAGUGAAUCAUCGAAUCUUUGAACGCACAUUGCGCCCUCUGGUAUUCCGGAGGGCAUGCCUGUUCGAGCGUCAUUUCAACCCUCAAGCCUGGCUUGGUGCUGGGGCACUGCUUCUCCCCGGGGGAGCAGGCCCUGAAAUAUAGUGGCGGGCUCGCCAGGACUCCGAGCGUAGUAGUUAAACCCUCGCUUUGGAAGGCCUGGCGGUGCCCUGCCGUUAAACCCCAACUCCUGAAAAUUUGACCUCGGAUCAGGUAGGAAUACCCGCUGAACUUAAGCAUAUCAUUUAAGCGGAGGAAA